rnacentral:rRNA from 1 species
UCUCCUGGGAAACGGGUGGUAAUGCCGGAUGCUCCGACUCCUCGCAUGGGGUGUCGGGAAAGAUUUCAUCGGUAUGGGAUGGGGUCGCGUCCUAUCAGGUAGUCGGCGGGGUAACGGCCCACCGAGCCUACGACGGGUAGCCGGCCUGAGAGGGCGACCGGCCACAUUGGGACUGAGAUACGGCCCAGACUCCUACGGGAGGCAGCAGUGGGGAAUAUUGCACAAUGGGCGCAAGCCUGAUGCAGCGACGCCGCGUGCGGGAUGACGGCCUUCGGGUUGUAAACCGCUUUUGAUCGGGAGCAAGCCUUCGGGUGAGUGUACCUUUCGAAUAAGCACCGGCUAACUACGUGCCAGCAGCCGCGGUAAUACGUAGGGUGCAAGCGUUAUCCGGAAUUAUUGGGCGUAAAGGGCUCGUAGGCGGUUCGUCGCGUCCGGUGUGAAAGUCCAUCGCUUAACGGUGGAUCUGCGCCGGGUACGGGCGGGCUGGAGUGCGGUAGGGGAGACUGGAAUUCCCGGUGUAACGGUGGAAUGUGUAGAUAUCGGAAAAGAACACCA